CGUGUGUGUGUGUGUGUGUGUGUGUGUGUGUGUACACAUGGCAUGUCCAUUUUCAUGCUCACAC
rnacentral:pre_miRNA from 1 species